AAACUUACCUUGCGCAGGAGAUACCGUGAUCAAGAAGGCGGUUCUCCCAGGACGAGACCCAGCCAUUGCACUACGGUUGGGUUGACCCCUGCGAUUACCCCAAAUGUGGGUAACUCGGGUGCAUAUUUUCUGGUAGUGAGGAACUGCGUUCGCGCUUUUCCUCG
rnacentral:snRNA from 1 species